rnacentral:rRNA from 1 species
GCUUACGGCCACACCGCCUGGUUCACGCCCGAUCUCGUUUGAUCUCGGAAGAUAAGAUAGGUUGGGCCUGGUUAGUACUUGGAUGGGAGACCGCCUGGGAAUACCAGGUGCUGUAGCUU